rnacentral:tRNA from 1 species
GGGGUUGUAGUUUAAUCUGGUNUAACGGUCGGUUGUCAUCCGAUUGGUAUGGGUUCAAAUCCCGUUAAUCCUG